CCUACGGGUGGCUGCAGUGAGGAAUAUUGGUCAAUGGGCGGAAUCCUGAACCAGCCAUGCCGCGUGCAGGACGAAGGCUCUACGAGUUGUAAACUGCUUUUGUACGAGGGUAAAUGCCGAUACGUGUCUCGGGUUGAAAGUACCGUACGAAUAAGGAUCGGCUAACUCCGUGCCAGCAGCCGCGGUAAUACGGAGGAUUCAAGCGUUAUCCGGAUUUAUUGGGUUUAAAGGGUGCGUAGGCGGUGCGAUAAGUUAGAGGUGAAAUCCCGGGGCUCAACUCCGGCACUGCCUCUGAUACUGUCAGGCUAGAGUUUAGUAGCGGUAUGCGGAAUGUAUGGUGUAGCGGUGAAAUGCAUAGAGAUCAUACAGAACACCGAUUGCGAAGGCAGCUUACCAAACUACGACUGACGUUGAGGCACGAAAGCGUGGGUAGCAAACAGGAUUAGAUACCCGAGUAGUC
rnacentral:rRNA from 1 species